CUGACUUCUCCAAGGUGACUCCUUGGAAAGAAGUACUUGCUAACUCAACUAGUUUCUAGGAAAGCAACAACUAUUUCAGAAUAAAAAGAAAAAUAACAGAUUCAAAUUCUGACCAAAAGCAUUCCAAUUCUGACC